rnacentral:rRNA from 1 species
GUAGGGUGCGAGCGUUAAUCGGAAUUACUGGGCGUAAAGCGUGCGUAGGCGGUUCGUUAAGUGCGUCGUGAAAGCCCCGGGCUCAACCUGGGAAUGGCGAUGGAAACUGGCGGGCUGGAGUAUGGCAGAGGGGGGUGGAAUUCCGCGUGUAGCAGUGAAAUGCGUAGAGAUGCGGAGGAACACCGAUGGCGAAGGCAGCCCCCUGGGCCAAUACUGACGCUCAGGCACGAAAGCGUGGGGAGCAAACAGGAUUAGAUACCCUGGUAGUCCACGCCCUAAACGAUGCUCACUAGGUGUUGGGGAAGCGAUUCCUUGGUACCGUAGCUAACGCGUGAAGUGAGCCGCCUGGGGAGUACGGCCGCAAGGUUA